CAGUAGCCGCGGGAACACGAAGGGUGCAAGCGUUACUCGGAAUUACUGGGCGUAAAGCGUGUGUAGGUGGUUGUUUAAGUCUGUCGUGAAAGCCCUGGGCUCAACCUGGGAAUUGCGAUGGAUACUGGGCGACUAGAGUGCGGUAGAGGAUAGUGGAAUUUCCGGUGUAGCAGUGAAAUGCGUAGAGAUCGGAAGGAACAUCUGUGGCGAAGGCGACUAUCUGGGCCAACACUGACACUGAGACACGAAAGCGUGGGGAGCAAACAGGAUUAGAUACCCCAGUAGUCCCUGUCUCUUAUAC
rnacentral:rRNA from 1 species